AACGAACGCUGGCGGCAGGCUUAACACAUGCAAGUCGAACGAGAAACCCCUUCGGGGGCGGACAGUGGCAAACGGGUGAGUAACACGUGGGAAUGUACCCUUUAGUCUGGGACAACAGUUGGAAACGACUGCUAAUACCGGAUGAGCUCUACGGAGGAAAGAUUUAUCGCUAAAGGAUCAGCCCGCGCAACAUUAGCUAGAUGGUAGGGUAAUGGCCUACCAUGGCUACGAUGUUUAGCUGGUUUGAGAGGAUGAUCAGCCACACUGGGACUUAGAUACGGCCCAGACUCCUACGGGAGGCAGCAGUGAGGAAUAUUGCACAAUGGAGGAAACUCUGAUGCAGCCAUGCCGCGUGAGUGAUGAAGGCCCUAGGGUUGUAAAACUCUUUCGCGAGGGAAGAUAAUGACGGUACCUCGAUAAGAAGCCCCGGCUAACUUCG
rnacentral:rRNA from 1 species